GUGAGCAGCAAGGUAUGACAUACAGAGAGAUCUUGUGAAAAGCAAACUCCCUCGGUCUUGAUGCUGACACUCAGGCCUUUUAACUAGAGUGCCAUACCCCAUUCAAGGAAGGACACUGAACCAGUAUACGCAGCCAGGUUCUGUGAAGGAACAGAAGAUUCAUUUCAGCCAGGAUUAUACCAGAGGCUUUGAGAAGCUAUGCAUCGUGUUUGUGCUUUUCUCCUGGUCUCCUGUUUCAUCCUUGGCCUUAUGUCUUUAAUAGGAGCAGACGCUGGUGCAGAUGACAGAGGUGAGAAUCGUAUAUCUGUAUAUACAUUUAUAAUUUGGGAG